rnacentral:rRNA from 1 species
CUAACACGUGGACACCCUGCCCUUAGGUCGGGUAUAAACCCGGGAAACUGGGUAUAAUCCCCUAUAAAUCUCGGCUGCGGGAAUGCGCCGAGAUUAAAAGCUCCCGCGCCUCAAGAGGGGUCUGCGCCCUAUCACGUGUUAUUGGGUGUAGCGUACCUCCUCUCCUACAACGGGUACGGGGUGUGAGAGCAAGAGCCCCCAGAUGGAUUCUGAGACACGAAUCCAGGCCCUACGGGGUGCAGCAGGCGCGAAAACUUUACAAUGCUGGCAACAGCGAUAAGGGAACCUCCAGUGCCGCGUUACAACUCUGGCUGUCGACAUGCUUAAAAAGCAUUUCU